rnacentral:tRNA from 1 species
CAAGAUGUAGCUUAACWAACCAAAGCAUCCGGCCUACGCCCGGAAGACUUC